AGCCCGUCUCCAUCGUCGUCGUUAUCAUUAAUGGCGCUUGCGGCGAAAUUGUUAAAUCGCUCAAGUUAUUUCUGUAAUGCGGGGAUAUCUUUACAGAAAUGUACUGGUACUCUGCAAAAAAUGCUUCACAAGUACUUGGGAAUGAUGGAUAUACAGCUCCUAUAAAAAUAAUGGGGUUUCCAAUGAACAGCGGAAGUGGAGCUUCACCAGGACCAGUAUCGAGACAGUACAUCAAACUAUGUGACUACCACGUAUAUUACACAUGAGAGAGUCUCUUCUAUUACAUCCGUGUUGUUCAACCAUAAUUGAAAUGAACUACUGUAUCGCUGCAACAAAACCUUUAUUUGGCGUGUACGUGAACUUUGGAUGCAUGUAAUUAUUGUCUUUUCUACACUUUAGCUAGAUUUUACAUGAACAGAGCAGUCAAGUGCAAGUAAGCUGGUGUAACAAAAUAAACUUUGUCUAGAAAGAAAGAAAAUACGCACGAAUGGCGAAACCGACAAUGAAGGAGAUUUAAUUUCCACUAAUGGGGAGGCCAGGUUAGGAAAAUGAGGUCACAGGGCUGCAUAGGUGGAUGCUUCUGGGAGGAUCCUUGAACCAGUUGAACUUGUUUUGGACCAGUUUGCAAUGAUUGCAGGAAUGUGGAUUGAAAAUCCAGUGAACGGGUAAGGAACUGUCAAGGGAAGUGCCUCAGGAUGAGAGCCACCGAUAUUUUGAACAGAGACCGUUCUUCUAGGUGUAUAUUGAACAGGUUCAUAUUGCAUGUAUUGUCCAUAUAAUACGCAUGGCUAAAAAUACAUAGAGUCUGAAGUUCUCGGGAAAUAUUUUUUUCUAAAUUUGGGGGGUAAAAAAUCGGGUAAAUAAACACGCGCUUUAAAUUCAUGCAAGUUCGGGUGAACAAACUUGCAAUACGUUAAAUUCGGGGAGAAAUCUGGCUCAGUUACCCAAACUAACUGUAGUGGUUUGGUACGAGCUGUGACGUAACUGCAUUUGUUGCCAAACAAGUAAGUUAGUGCAUUGCUACAGACAUCCCAGUGAGGGCAGUUCGUCGGGUAAAAAUCGGGUUUUCACCCGAAAGAGGCAACCUUCACUUCGGGGUGCAAAUCCGGGGAAAAAUCGGGUAGAACCCUAAGACUUCGGGCUCUAAAAAUACGCAAAUAAAUUAUUCUAUGACAUUUGAUAAUGUUUUGUGCAGGAAAUUCGGGAAAGAAAGUCCCAGAUAAGUCCCACUGUCGCCACACGAGGGCUUCGGAGCUGGAGCACUCGUGCAACGUGUGCAGCCGAGUCUUCUCGCGGCGCGACCACCUGACGGACCACAUCCGGUCCCACACGGGCGAACGCCCCUUCUGCUGUCACCUCUGCCCCAAGACUUUCGUCUGGAAGAGCAAUCUCACAAAACACAUACGACGUCACACGGGAGAGAAGCCGUUCAGCUGCAAUGUCUGCUUGAAGGCAUUUACCAGGACGGACAGUUUAGCCGAGCACAUGAAACUGCACCAGUACAACAGACGACGACGGUGAGAUGGUAUGCCUUAAAAGGGUUGGAAAUAUUGAUUUGUCUGUACUAAACAUGCACAUAAAAACACUAUGUUUCUGUGA